UUUCAGUGACUAGUUGAUCCAACACCAACCAUCAUUCUCAUGCACCCAAGAACCAAAUAAGCGGGAAUCGAUCAUUAUUAUCCAAAAGUCCGACCCGCUUUUCUGCCAUCUUCUCCAACGGGGAUUUGGAGGCGGCAGAAGGUGUGCGGAGCCAGAGGCCUGGCGCUUUGGAGUGUGAUCGUAGCAGCCCUGCCGGCGCAGGAAUGCAGGACUCCGACAGGAAGCGCAAGAGAGGAAAGCGGAAGCGGGAGCUCCGUCAUGACGAUCCCCCUCCUGCUGACGUCUCUCCGAAGUGCCGACGGCAAUCAUCAUCCGCAUGCCCUAAUCCUAAUGCCAAAGGAUCGUCCUCUUCUUUUCUCGAGAAGAUGAGAGCGAGGCUGUCCGGCGGUCAUUUUCGGAUGCUUAACGAGAAGUUGUACACUAGCAAUGGAAAUGAAGCAUUCGAUCUUUUCAGGAAGGACCCUGCCCUAUUUGAUGUGUAUCAUUCUGGAUAUCAAGAGCAGAUGUCUCACUGGCCAGUACAGCCUGUGGAUAGCAUAAUCAAGUGGCUUAAAGAUCACAGCUCUUCGUUGGUGGUUGCUGAUUUUGGUUGUGGAGAUGCACGCAUUGCAAAAUCUGUAAAGAAUGUUGUUUUCUCCAUUGACCUUGUCUCAAAUGAUCCGUCUAUAAUUGCUUGUGACAUGUCUAAGACACCUUUGGCUUCCUCGUCAGUGGAUGUUGCUGUAUUUUGCCUUUCCUUGAUGGGCACAAACUUCCCAAGUUACCUUGAGGAGGCUCAUAGGGUGCUUAAGCCAAGUGGAUGGCUAUUGAUAGCGGAAGUCAAGAGCAGGUUUGACCCAAAUAAUGGUGGUGCAGAUCCUAAUAUAUUCUCUAAAUGUGUCCACAAGCUUGGAUUCAGUACAGUGUCCAAGGAUUUCUCAAAUAAGAUGUUUAUUCUUCUUAUAUUCCGGAAGAUGGAGGCGAAUACAUUGAAGAGCAACAUUCAGUGGCCAAAAUUGAAACCCUGUUUAUAUAAGCGACGAUCUGAAGUGAAUACGGGAAAUUGGAGCGACUACAUUUACGCAUUUAUGUGCCCUAGAAAAGAGUUUCUCAACUGGCAGCGCGCUUCUCCCUUCAACUGGCACUCUUGUUGACUUGUAAAUUGAUUGUGAGUUGGCCAUGACACCGUGGAAGUCUACCAAGUGAUGUUACUAGCAUCAUGAUCAAAUCUGCAAGAGGAGAAAAGGAGGGGCUUUAGCUGCUUGUCCUUAUUUGACAAUCAACUGCCGAGAUUUGGCGUAGUGGUAAAGCUGCUCAAUCUGUAUUUCAGGUGUAUUCAGUUCGUGAAGCAAGGUGUUUCAAACAUGACUGAGCCUACUGAAUGGCCAACUGAGCUGAGAGCUAGACUCUGCCUAUAUUUUCUUUUCUAGGCCAGGUAGUUGCUUUCAUCCUGUGUAAAGCCCCUAAGGCUAUACAUACCUUCAAGAUUAUAGCUUGAGUAGACUUUUUGUACAUUGGAGCUCGUGUGUCGCUUUUGUCAUUGUUUGCAGCCAACAAAAGCAAUACAUUCAAGUGUAAGAGAGACGAUGGGACCUGUUUGUAAGUUUGAACGAGCACAAC